UACGUAGGGGGCGAGCGUUGUCCGGAUUCAUUGGGCGUAAAGAGCUCGUAGGCGGCUUGGCAAGUCGGGUGUGAAAUCCCCAGGCUCAACCUGGAGUCGCCACUCGAUACUGCCAUGGCUAGAGUCCGGGAGGGGACCAUGGAAUGCCUGGUGUAGCGGUGAAAUGCGCAGAUAUCAGGAGGAACACCAGUGGCGAAGGCGGUGGUCUGGGCCGGAACUGACGCUGAGGAGCGAAAGCGUGGGGAGCGAACAGGAUUAGAAACCCGAGUAGUCC
rnacentral:rRNA from 1 species